rnacentral:rRNA from 1 species
UACGUAGGUGGCAAGCGUUGUCCGGAAUUAUUGGGCGUAAAGCGCGCGCAGGCGGUCCUUUAAGUCUGAUGUGAAAGCCCACGGCUCAACCGUGGAGGGUCAUUGGAAACUGGGGGGACUUGAGUGCAGGAGAGAAGAGUGGAAUUCCACGUGUAGCGGUGAAAUGCGUAGAUACCAGGAGGAACACCGGUGGCGAAGGCGGCACUCUGGGCCGGAACUGACGGCUGAGGAGCGAAAGCGUGGGGAGCGAACAGG